rnacentral:rRNA from 1 species
UACAGAGACGGCAAGCGUUGCUCGGAUUCAUUGGGCGUAAAGGGUGCGUAGGCGGUCAGCUAAGUCGGGUGUGAAAUCUCACAGCCCAACUGUGAUAGGUCAUUCGAAACUAGCUGGCUCGAGGACUGGAGAGGAGACUGGAAUGGUCGGUGUAGCGGUGAAAUGCGUAGAGAUCGACCAGAACACCGGUGGCGAAGGCGGGUCUCUGGACAGUUCCUGACGCUGAGGCACGAAAGCCAGGGGAGCAAACGGG